GUUGGUUCUAGGACGCUGUAUGAUUAAUAGGGAUAGUCGGGGGCGUCAGUAUUCAAUUGUCAGAGGUGAAAUUCUUGGAUUUAUUAGAAGACUAACUACUGCGAAAGCAUUCGCCAAGGAUGUUUUCAUUAAUCAGUGAACGAAAGUUAGGGGAUCGAAGACGAUCAGAUACCGUCGUAGUCUUAACCAUAAACUAUGCCGACUAGGGAUCGGACGGUGGUUUUUUAUGCCCCGUUCGGCACCUUACGANAAAUCAAAGUUUUUGGGCUCGGGGGGGAGUAUGGUCGCNAGGCUGAAACUUAAAGGAAUUGACGGAAGGGCACCACCAGGUGUGGAGCCUGCGGCUUAAUUUGACUCAACACGGGGAAACUCACCAGGUCCAGACAUAGCUAGGAUUGACAGAUUGAUAGCUCUUUCUUGAUUCUAUGGGUGGUGGUGCAUGGCCGNNCUUAGUUGGUGGAGUGAUNUGUCUGGUNAAUUCCGAUAACGAACGAGACCUUANNCUGCUAAAUANACCGAUCGUCUUAUGAUGGUCGCUGUCUUCUUAGAGGGACUGUCAGCGUNUANCUGACGGAAGUUGAGGCAAUAACAGGUCUGUGAUGCCCNUAGAUGUNCUGGGCCGCACGCNCGCUAUACUGANAGGGCAGCGAGUAAUUCCCCUUGUCCGA
rnacentral:rRNA from 1 species